CCUCCCCCUCCCCUGCUGCCCGUGAAUCAGAUGUUCCCCGGAAGCCUGAAACAAGCAGCAGGCAGGGCCUUAGCUGGAGAACUCAAGCCAAAACAUCAACUGAUCAAUGCCAAGGCAGUAACUGCCAGCCCAGCACCCAGUGCUCAAAACUCACGAGAUUGGACUUUUUGUUUGUUUGUCUCUGAGUGACGAGGUUUCACUCUGGUCACAUUCUCAGGCUUUUCUACUGAGCCAGGAGAGCAAGAAGCUUCUCAUGGUACGGAAAUGAGAGCUGAGAUUCACACGGCAUCACAGGAUUCCCAGAGUUGGGGCUUUAAGAAAAGCACCAGGCACUCAUAGACUCAAGGUGAAAUCGGGAGAGUUUGUGACAACCUCAGUGUGAUUUACCGUGGAAAUGAAACGGCUGCAUUUCUGACUAUUGAAGGUUCUUAUCUGCCCCUACUCCCAGUGCCAUGGGUUUAGACUCACAACACGCCUGGGAGGUGGGGGAAGUGCUGUUACCCCAUUUCAGAGAGAGGAACAUCUGGCACAAAGCGGAUAAAUGACUUGCCUGACGUCACACAGGAAUACGGUCACAGAGCAGGGAACUGAACCUGAGCCUUCCAAGUGAACAGCUAAACCACCGGACCAGACUUUUUCUCAGCAUUAUGAGCCUGGGAGAGGAGGACAGGGACAAAGCUACGCACAGGGCAAACACAACAGUAAAGUUUGUCUAAUGAUCUUCUCACUGACCCUCCCCACAAUCACUGGCCAGCCCUGUGCAGUCAGGUGAUCACAGUGGACAGGAACUGAGUACAUGGUGGGAAUGAAAAUAAUGAUUUUUUCAGGCCUGCUCUAAAAUGCUCCGGCUGCCUCUGACUGCACAGUCACAUUCUGUGCUCAGCUUCUGACACAGCCCUUCCCUCUCCUGGUCUGUCUGUGUUACCAGAGAAACUUCUCCACCGGGGUUGGGACCUGCCAUUUUUCACCAGAUCUCUUGGGAGGACGAGAUGAGAAACAGAGACACAAACAUCUCUCCCUCACCCACAAUAUCUUCAUCCUUCAUCCUAUUUAUAUCAAUAACGUCAUAUCCAUCAAACACAUUUACCCUGCUGCUGUCUCAUGUACCUGGCUCUUUUCUCAGAAUUUCAAAGCAGAACAGAGUUAUCAUAAUAAUUUAAAAAAUCACAAAUGGUGGGAUACAAUAUAUAACUCCUCGACUGUAAGCAGACCAGGAGCAGUAGUUCUCACACAAAGCAGUGUAAGAGGCACCGUGGGCUGGAGAAUUGAGGAAACACAGCAGUUCAUCAGUCCAGAUUGUACCCUGGGUAUGUCACAGUCUGUAUCUGUCUCUGAUACUUACAUUGUAGUCACUCUGUGGCAGGGAUUGUCUGUGUUGGUACAGCACCUAGCGCAGUAGGGCCAUAAUCUAUGAUUGGGGCCUCUAGGUGCGAAUUUCCAAAUUACAACCCACUUCCUGCAACAACUCAUGAUGCAAUGGGCCCCAGGUCUGGUACAUUCUGUGCAUGACAGUGGGCUUUCUCUUCAAAUCCUGGUACUGGUGUUAAUGGCUCCUUGGCUUGGCUGUGCAGUUGGGGUUGGAUACUGAAGAACAGCUAGUGCCUGUUGAAUCACUAGUGUCACAGUUUCAGGUUUACGGCACCUCUGACCCCUACCAUGGUCUGCUCCAGCAAUGCCUGCACUGUCUCAGGCCUGUAGGCGUCCCCUCUGGGCAGACACCCACAUCCCACUCCCGCCUGACUGGGGCAGUGAAGCUGCAGUCCCCUUGCACUCACUGGGAUUCUCCCCUAGGAGAACAUCGAGACCCUGCUCUGUGCUUUCUCUCUGAGGACAGUGGCUGCAAUUGGCCAGGAAUCAGGCAGCUAUUCCAAAGCCGAGCCAAUUUAUUGAAGGACAAACAGAACACAGAGAAAAUGUAUAUAUAUAAAAAAAAAGCUCUAAACACCCACGACAUGGGCCAGAGUCACCAGGUCUUGUGAAUGUAAGGCCAAGGUGGGUCUCUAAUUUGGCACUCACGAUGCCAGGCACGGCAGCCUUCUCAGUGCUGUGCGUAUGGAUGGUGUUUUCCUUCCAUCCCAGCACCUCCUUGGGGGACACCAUCCUGGGGAGCAGUAGGGCUGAACCAGGGGUCAUCCUGCCUUUCAGGAGCAAAACAAUGAGUUCUGGGAAAUAUAAGGAGAGGCAAAAAGACAUUUUGUCCCCCAUUUCCUGAGGAAACCCCUGGCAGGACCUGGGGUGUUCAGGAAAACUUGGAUCCUGGUUACAAAUGAAAAGCAGCAGCUCUGUCAAAGACAGAGACCUUGGGAGAAACUCCAGGGAACUGGAAGCAAAGAGCAGUGGGGAGUGGCCAGGCGCAUGAUGGCCUCAGUCUAUAGUAUUUGCAUCUAUUGAAUCCAGUGAGACAAUUCCCAGAAUGCCUAGAUCAGGGCUGCUGGAGGGAAUUUGUAUAAACAAAGGAUAACCGUUAGCCAUUGAUGUAUGUAACGGGAAAGUAUAAAUACUUGUCUUAUACUGCUUGUAGGGGGAAGAUCUGCCUAAGGUCAGGGGACCCCCUUUCCGACCACAGUCUUGGCUUGCAAUUGCUCGUAAUAAACUGUCUCUGCCUUGUUGCUAACAAACGCAGAGGGAGGUCUUGUUUUCUUCCACACUACCUCUGAGCCCAUUUUCCCUGCCAACUUGGGGCUUCAGUGCUCUGCCUGCUUGUGCCAGACACGCUAGCCUGCUACAAGCACAGACCCAGGUCUGAACCACAUCCCCCCAAAACUGCAGGCUUAACUGAAAACAGCUUAAGAAGUGCUCCUGUCUCCAACACCUAGAUGCCCAGUUGCCAGUGGGGUCCAAACCCCAAAUAAAUCCAUUUUGCCCUCUAUAAAGCUUAUAUAGGGUAAACUCAUAAAUUGUUCGCCCUCUAUAACACUGAUAGAGAGAUAUGCACAGGUGUUUGCCCCCCCCCCCCACAGAGGUAUUAAUACAUACUCUGGGUUAAUGAGUAUGUAAAAAGUGAUUUUAUUAAAUACAAAAAGUAGGAUUUUAGUGGUUCCAAGUAAUAACAGACAGAACAAAGUGAAUUACCAAGCAAAAUAAAAUAAAACACACAAGUCUAAGCCUAA